CUUGCCUACGGGACGCAGCAGUGGGGAAUAUUGCACAAUGGGGGGAACCCUGAUGCAGCGACGCCGCGUGAGUGAAGAAGUAUUUCGGUAUGUAAAGCUCUAUCAGCAGGGAAGAAAGAAAUGACGGUACCUGACUAAGAAGCCCCGGCUAACUACGUGCCAGCAGCCGCGGUAAUACGUAGGGGGCAAGCGUUAUCCGGAUUUACUGGGUGUAAAGGGACCGUAGACGGCGAUGCAAGUCUGAAGUGAAAGGCGGGGGCCCAACCCCCGGACUGCUUUGGAAACUGUAUGUCUGGAGUGAAGGG
rnacentral:rRNA from 1 species